UACAGGGGGGGCAAGCGUUGUUCGGAAUUACUGGGCGUAAAGGGUCUGUAGGUGGCCAACUAAGUCAGACGUGAAAUCCCUCAGCUUAACUGGGGAACUGCGUCUGAUACUGGAUGGCUUGAGUGCAGGAGAGGAAUGCGGAAUUCCAGGUGUAGCGGUGAAAUGCGUAGAUAUCAGGAGGAACACCGGUGGCGAAGGCGGGUCUCUGGGCCGUAACUGACGCUGAGGAGCGAAAGCGUGGGGAGCGAACAGG
rnacentral:rRNA from 1 species